GAUGAACGCUGGCGGCGUGCCUAAUACAUGCAAGUCGAACGGUGGAGCGCCUUCCUUUCUGGUCGGAGUGUAUGAGCGGCCAACGGGUGAGCAACUCGUUAGUAUCCUUCUCACACUGGCUGGACAUCCGGAUGACGGUGCUGCUAACACGGGAUAUUUUGAGUCGCAUGCUUCAUGGGUGUAGGAAAGUCUUUGUUUCGCUUGGGGAUGGGUUCGCGCUCUAUCAGCUUGUUGGUGGGGUGACGGCCUACCAAGGCGGUGACGAGUAGCCGGCCUGAGAGGGUGGACGGUCACACUGGGACUGAGACACGGCGCAGACUCCUACGGGAGGCAGCAGUGGGGAAUAUUGCACAAUGGGCGGAAGGCUGAUGCAGCGACGCCGCGUGAGGGAUGGAGGCCGUCGGGUUGUGAACCUCUUUCGCGAGUGAAGCAGGCCUGCCUCGUUUGUGGGUGGGUUGACGGUAGCUGGAUAAGAAGCGCCGGCUAACUACGUG
rnacentral:rRNA from 1 species